GUAAGUAAUUAUAAGAGUAAUGCUCACCAUUGAUUCUCUCUCAUGUUCCUGUUUGGUGAUUUGGUCUUUCCAUCAAUUGUGGCACCAUCUACCAUCAGGUUGUCAUCAGAGAAGAGCUGAUGCUGGCAACAUGCCAUGGAAUCUGCUGAAUUCCAGGAGGCCCUGACCUUACCACCACGAGCAUGUGUGAAUUCCCACACCACAAAGAUUUUGUUCUUCCGUUGGUCACCAUCUCUAAUCUGUAGUUUCCUCCAAUUCCCAACUGGACAGUUUGAACUGUAUUGUUGGUCUUUGAGACUGUUUGCACAGAAUAAUGUGAAGAGUUUAAGAAAACACAUGACACUGGAUUGGGUCCAGUAGCAGCAAGUAUGAGACUCUGGGCACAGACAAUUUUGUCUUCUGGAAGCACCUCAAUGGCUAGGAAUGGAGGCCAGUGACUCUUAGCAAGUGCCUUGAGUUUUCACAUCUGGGCUGAACGCAACAUCUGGAAAGGGGAACGUUCUCAAUAACGGGAAAGGAGACAAUGACGGAAAUGGAGGCUUGGGAAGAGGGAGAAGUACCUGAGAUGAAGAAGAAGAGCUCAGGAAGCGUCUACCAGACAGGUGUGAAAUCCCAAGG
rnacentral:lncRNA from 1 species